AGCUGAAAUCAAGAGUUGGAUGCUCAACCGAGCCACCCAGGCACCCGUUUGGGGACUGUCUUAAAGUGAAGACUAAAACAAUGAAGCGAAGAAAAGAAUAAGCAGAAACAUAUAGAGUUCUUCAGUCUAGAAAUACAGGAGUCAAAUGGUUUGGAAAUACUAUCAUGAACUAUCAGUGUAGGGAUCAUUAAAUUUUAAACUAUGGGAUGAUUCUUGAAGCUGAAAAUGGGUUGUUGAGAGAAAAGUAACAUUUACACAGCAAAGUACUAUCUGAAAAUGAAAGAAAAUCAUAAAUGCACAUGUAAGUAAGUUUAUAGUAGGAUUCAUACUCAGGCUGUUACUUUCUUCUAUUUAAAGUUCCUUUGAGCUCUAGGGAAAAGGAGAUUUUACUACUGUUGUAAUCUGAGUUUUGGGUGGUUUUUGUACAGAAAUCAGAUUUUAAGGAAAUAUUUUAGCUUAUGGUUUUCUAAAACUGAUAAUCAUAUUUUGUACAUAUUUUGUAUUUCACAAUUGGACACACUUAGAAACCGUUAUACCAAGAGCCCAGGUAAAAUGUUCUUUCUGUUGUAUUUUAUCUGGGAACCUUCUAAUGAGCUGACAAUAUACGUAUAGUAUGACUACCAGGAAUCUAAAUUUAUCUCAUGAUCUAAAACUGACAGUUUUCAUUCUCACAUGUACUGAUGAAGGAAGGUAAUUAGCUUUAUCAAAAGUUCAUAAUCAAACAUUUAAAAUACACCUUAGCCCUUAUGCAAUAUUCCAUGAAAAGGUCAAAGAUUUUCAUGAGUUAUUUUCCUGGAACGUGGCUUCCAUUUCAAAGUUAGAAACAUUUAAAAUGUUCAAUGAAAAUCAAUCUAUGAAUUACUAAAACAUUCCAGAAGUUUUUGUAAACUGAUAAAAGAAUAUAGUUUUUGAUCAUCAGUUUUAUAAAACUAUAUUUGGUAUCAAUCUUUUCCUUAUCAGAUAUUAAGAUUAUAACCAAAGAAAAAAAUAAUUUGGGAAUCUGUCCAAAAAUCAUCUUUUAAGAAUAUCAUCAGGUUAGUUAAGACUCUAGCAAAGAUUUAAGACUUCAUCCACAAAACUAAGGCAAGAAAACACAACAGACCACUGCCAUCCAUGACAUUAAUGUCUGUGAAUGCCAAAAUAUGGCUCUGGCUAGUAUUGAACUGGGUGGGUGUUAUUACCCUCAGGUGAGGAAAAAGUCUUGGUAAGAGGUGCGUUCAUACCUCAACUAGAUGGCCUAACCAGAAGAACUCAAAUUUGUAGCUCAGUAAACUUGGUUAUGAAAUUUUCUGAGUUUCAGGCAACAAGCUCUAAAACCACAAAUCUCAAAUCUAUGAAUCACAGAAAUAGCAAAUAGGGUUGCCUCUAGCCCAAACAGUAACCCAGUACAAAUUAGAAACUAAAUUAGUCCAGAAUGCCUGCAGCUCAAACAGCCUCUUUGAGCAAUUAGAACAAGGUGCUGCUCCUCUGUGGAUGUUCCUCCUAGGUCAGUUUAGUGAGUAAAAUUCAGUCUGAAUUUUAGCUCCCACUCUACAGCUAAACCUGUAUCAUACCAACCACAAGUGACUGCACCCUAUUAGACGCUAGAAUUUAUCCAAAAUAUUCCAUGAAUGGUAUUAGUUUCUAAAAUUGUGAUGCUGGACACCUGCACCUGAAUCACAUAUGGUCUGUAUUAAAACAGCUUCCUGGGUCACAUCUAAGAACUCCUAAAUCUCUGAGGAUAGAGGUCAGAAAUUACAUUUUACCUUAAAAAUUGAGACUAUUAGCACCAUGAUGGUAGCCACUUUGUCUACCUUGUUUAUAGCCAGAUUCCUAGUGCCUGUAAGACUCCUUGACACAACAUAGGAUUGCAUUAUUUGUUGGCCAAAUGGAUGAAACCACUACAUUAAAAGCAUGACAGAUAACAGAAACUAAUUGCAUAUAUAUAGAAGUAGAAAACUGCAGCACACAAAUUAAAAACAUGGACUUUGAUGGGCAAGUUAUUUUACUUCUCUGUGCUUCAGUUUCUUUCCUCACCUGUAAAGUAAGGACAGUAAUACAUUGACCCCAGGGAUAUUGUGACAAUUUCAUUUGAUAUAUGUAAAGUCCUUAAGAAAAAGCCCUCAAUACACAUUUACUAAGUUAUCAUCUAUUUCUAAAGUUUGCCUCAGAGUUUUCACAAUCAAUUAUAACUAUAAAGGUAUUUACCAAACAGUUCAUUUUUUAAAGUUUAAAAUCUACAGAACUACUUACUGGAUCCAUUAAAAACACGCGAGAAGCUGCAGAAAGAUUUAAACCAACUCCACCUGCUUUCAAAGAUAGAAGCAUUAUAGUUGGAGAUCCUGCUUCAGUGUUUUGAAAACACUGAAUUGAUUCAACUCUUUUCUUCUGUGCCAUAGAACCAUCCAAACGAGUAAACACAAAUCCAGAGGCUCUAAUGGAAGGACAAAAGAGACAAGUAACACCUUCUAUACUAUUUUAAAAACAUGUUAAUUACAAAUUUCAUUCAACCAAUUCUUCCACUCAUUUAUUCUGACAAAUAUUUACUAACCACCAGUCAGUAUUUUUUCUGAUAAAUUCAGGACUUAUCUUUAAAAUCCUAUGCUCCCAGGAAAUAUUGUGACUCUAUCAUUUUACAUAGAUGAAAUGACUGUAACUGGUAAGACAAUUAUUUUUUGCUAUCCCUAUCAAAACACUUACAUAAAAUCCUUUUACUCAAAGUGAGAAACAAUACUGAAUUUACCUGAGUGGUGUUUCUAUUAAAGACAGGAAUGUUGUAAACUGAGAAACAACUAAACUUUUUAUGUUGGGGUUCUUCUUUCUUAAGUCAAUCAAUGCAUGCAUUAGUGCAUUAAUCUGCAAAAAAAAUUAGAACACCUGUUGGAUUCCAUUUUGAAUAGGCAAAAUACGUAUAAUUUUUUUAUUAGGAAAAGAAAGGCCCUGCCCCAUUAUUUCCCUAAAAAUGCAAAAGUAAAAGACAAUGUUUUUAAAAACACUGAAAAAAUGCACUCAUAACCUGAAGCUUCUUUGCUCUCAAAUGCACCACUAGAAAAUUUAAAAGUUAACACUAACAGAGCAUAAUAUUUAAAUGACAGGAUGAAAAGAAUUAUUUUAAUAAAUGGUAUCCUUAUAUAAAUAUAAAACAAAUACUCAAAUAUUUGCCCAUGUAUAUUUUACCUUUGAACUGGAUGUCCAUUCCAUAUUAGACUUUUUUUCAGUGUCACAUGCCAAUUCUUCUGGAGGACAUUCUAAUAAAUUGUCUCCAUGUAUAUCAUUUCUGCAUAAAGGACAUUUAGCAUGUGGCUAUAUAAGAAAAGAAUAAGAUAUGAAUGAAGCUUAUCAGAGGAACAAAUAUCAACUUACCUAAAAUUUUUUAUCAAGUUUAUUUGAGAGAGAGCAAGUGAGCGCACGAUGGUGGGGCAGAAAGAAAAUCCCAAGCAGGCUCUGCACCAUCAGCACAGAGCCAGACAUGGGGCUCAAACUCACGAACCGUGAGAUCAUGACCUGAGCUAAAAUCAAGGGUGUUUUACCUCAGAUGUUUGACCGACUGAGUCACCCAGGUGCCCCAACUUACCUCAAUUUUUAAAAAGCAUGGUAAAUUCUAAAACCUUAAUAGCUAGCAUUUUAUUAGACUUUUUAGAUUCAUCCACUUGAGAUAAAUCUGUACAUGCUAAACUCCAGGCAGAUGUAAUGUUCUAAUGUGUCAAGUGGGACUGGGUAAAAAAAGGAGCAAAAAGUAUGUCAUCUUGACUAGCAACAGGAGCUUGAAACAAAUAUUAUAAUACAGUUUACCCUUGAACAUGGGUAUGAGGAUUUUUUUUCAGUAAAUACAGUACAGUACUAUAAAUGAAUUUUACGAUUUUAGUAUUUUCUCUUUACUGUAGGAAUACCACAUAUAAUAUAUAACAAAGAUAUGUGUCAACUGUUUAUGUUAUCAGUAAGGCUUCCAGUCAACAGUAGGCUAUUAGUAGUUAAGUUUUAGGGCAGAUUUUCUGCACAGGGGGUUAGCACCCCAACCCCUGCCUUGUUCAGGGUGAAGUGUACUAUUUGCAGACAAGUAAAGAAACCAGAAAUAAUAGUAUCUUGAACCUAACUACAUUACAGCACACUAGUUGAAACUGUUCUUUAGGAAAAAAAAAAAAAAAUUUCUGGGGCACCUGGGUGACUCUGUUGGUUCA